GUCCGCGAUCUUGCUUAUUCGCUUUCUUCUUUCCUUCGCUUCAGUGGUCGCGAUCCAGACCACAUCCACUCUCUCUGGCCGAAGCCCUGAACUCCGAAGUGGCGAAGUGUUCAUUGUUGUCUCUCUUUCCCAAGGUCGUUUUUAAUUUUGUCUCUCAGAUUGCCUUCGAUGAUUCUUCUCUUGCAUUUUCGUGGUUAAUUUCUGAUUUUAACACAUGCCUUGCUUCAGCCUUUCUGGUCAUCUUAAUGAUAUCCUUCAUGUGUCUCGAGUUUUCUCUCAUUUCACAGCAAUCUAGAUGCCGCAAAUAGAUCAAAAGGCUUCCACUGCGCUUGACAGGUCAGGGUCACAUUUUCCUUCGAAAUACGCUUUCCCUGAAAGUUUUUCCCCCACGAAGAGAAUUUUCGUUUCCUUCAAUUUCCUUUUCCAUGGCAAAUGCCUGGAAAAGAGAUAAACCCUCUGGACUACGCUCCCCGAGAUUCCUCCUCCUCCUUCUCUUUGCGUUUCUUAUCCUUCUCUUUAUCUUCUUUACCCUCACUUCUAGUCCCCCCAGCUCCAGUCCUGGCUUCCUCGCCGUCAGCACCCAUCUGUCCUUCCAUGCAAUUUCUCCUUUCGAUUGCAUCAAAUCUCCACAAGCACACCCCGUCAUUGCGAGCACCGUCGAAGGCGUUCGAUACCCGUUUCUGUACUCGCUUUCCGAUUUCGGAAAUUUGCCCGACAAGCCUCACAAGAACAUCGUAAGAAUCCUCAAAGGGAAACCGUUUAGGAAACCCGAUAUUUCGGCAACGAUUCAGGAGGUUUUAGAGAGGAUGAAAAGCGAAGGCCGAGAUGGGUUUGUUGUGGAUGUGGGUGCCAAUGUGGGGAUGGCGAGCUUCGCUGCCUCGGCUAUGGGUUUUCGGGUUCUGGCAUUUGAACCUGUUUUCGAGAAUUUGCAGAAGAUUUGUGAAGGGAUUUACUUCAAUAGGGUGGCAGAAUUGAUCACUGUAUUUCAGGCUGCAGCGUCGGAUCGGCUUGGUAACAUUACCUUUCACAAGUUGGUUGGCCGGCUGGACAACAGUGCUGUUUCUGCCACUGGCGCAAAGUUGGCAUUUCAAUCCAAUGAAGAGGUAGCUCUCCAAGUAAGGUCUGUUCCUCUAGACGAACUGAUUCCUGAAUCAGAGCCGGUGCUUCUGCUCAAAAUAGAUGUUCAGGGAUGGGAAUAUCAUGUGCUUAAAGGAGCAUCAAAGCUGCUCUCAAGAAAAGGAAGUGAAGCCCCAUUUCUCAUAUACGAGGAAGAUGAGCGUUUGUUAAAGGCUAGUAAUAGUAGUGCAAAAGAGAUUCGUGACUUCCUCAAAAGUGUGGGUUAUAUUGAUUGUACUCAGCAUGGCACAGAUGCUCAUUGCACCAAGAAGGCUUCAACAUAACUUUCAUAUUCAAAAUUUUCUCUAAUAUUUCCAGGUGGCUAACAGCAUUUAGAUGGAUGGUGCGGUUCACUUGCAUAUUCAUUUUCUUCUUUUAACCAUCUAGAAUGCAGAGUAUAUGGGUAACAUAACAGCCGGCUUCAUAAUAGCUCCAUGAAUCUCACACAGCAGUAUUACUUAUAUUUGGAAGGGGACCUGUAUCUUGAGGUGCAUUAUUCUCUUCAACCUGCGAAACUAAGAUGCAGUGAACUUACAACAUUGAGAAUGCUAAUGAUGAAUUAGCCUCUCACAUCACAUGCCGCUUCAAGUUCAAGUUUAAUGUCUUGAAUUUAUUUGAUGUUGCUAGUGUAUUAAGUAAUAUUAAUUAUUUUUCAAUUUUAAUUGUAAACGGCCUGGAGAGAGAGAAAGAAAGAGAGAAGUCCACGAACAAGUCGAUACUGGGAAUCAUCUAGAAAAAUGUAUAUGUAAUAUUAUUGCUCAAAGAAUACAGGGUCAAUGUAAUUUUGUUUUAUACAAUAAUCAAACUAAAAAAUGCAUGGGAGCAUUGGUCUUGAAUGGUUU